GCCAGGUGCGGUGGUGUGCGCCUGUAGUCCCAGCUACUCGGGAGGCUGAGGCAGGAGGAUCACUUGAGUCCGGAAGUUCUGGGCUAUAGUGCGCUAUACCGAUCAGGUGUCUGCACUAAGUUCGGCAUCAAUAUGGUGACCUCCUGGGGGCGGGGGACCACCAGGUUGCCUAAGUAGGGGUGAACUGGCCCAGGUCAGAAACGGAGUAGGUCAAAACUCCUGUGCUGAUCAGUAGUGGGAUCGUGCCUGUGAAUAGCCACUGUACUCCAGCUUGGGCAACAUAGCGAGCCCCUGUCUCUA
ensembl:misc_RNA Metazoa_SRP Metazoan signal recognition particle RNA